GACGAACGCUGGCGGCGUGCCUAAUACAUGCAAGUAGGACGCACAGUCUAUACCGUAGCUUGCUACACCAUAGGCUGUGAGUUGCGAACGGGUGAGUAACGCGUAGGUAACCUGCCUAUUAGAGGGGGAUAACUAUUGGAAACGAUAGCUAAUACCGCAUAACAGUAUGUAACACAUGUUAGAUGCUUGAAAGAUGCAAUUGCAUCGCUAGUAGAUGGACCUGCGUUGUAUUAGCUAGUAGGUAGGGUAAUGGCCUGCCUAGGCGACGAUACAUAGCCGACCUGAGAGGGUGAUCGGCCACACUGGGACUGAGACACGGCCCAGACUCCUACGGGAGGCAGCAGUAGGGAAUCUUCGGCAAUGGGGGGAACCCUGACCGAGCAACGCCGCGUGAGUGAAGAAGGUUUUCGGAUCGUAAAGCUCUGUUGUUAAGGAAGAACGAGUGUGAGAAUGGAAAGUUCAUACUGUGACGGUACUUAACCAGAAAGGGACGGCUAACUACGUG
rnacentral:rRNA from 1 species